rnacentral:rRNA from 1 species
UACGUAGGGUGCAAGCGUUGUCCGGAAUUAUUGGGCGUAAAGAGCUUGUAGGCGGUUUGUCGCGUCUGCUGUGAAAUUUCGGGGCUCAACCCCGAACUUACAGUGGGUACGGGCAGACUAGAGUGUGGUAGGGGAGACUGGAAUUCCUGGUGUAGCGGUGAAAUGCGCAGAUAUCAGGAGGAACACCGAUGGCGAAGGCAGGUCUCUGGGCCACUACUGACGCUGAGAAGCGAAAGCAUGGGGGAGCGAACAGG